AGGGGUGUAGCUCAGUUGGUAGAGCACCGGUCUCCAAAACCGGGUGUCGGGGGUUCGAGCCCCUCCACCCCUGCCA
rnacentral:tRNA from 2 species